rnacentral:piRNA from 1 species
UGUUUUUUAUCUCUUUGGUGUUUUAAGAC